UACGUAGGGUGCGAGCGUUAAUCGGAAUAACUCGGCGUAAAGGGUGCGUAGGCGGAUGUAUAAGUUAGAUGUGAAAAGCCCGGGCUUAACCUUGGUCGCGCAUUUAAGACUGUAUGUCUGGAGUUUGUUAGAGGGGGGUAGAAUUCCAAGUGUAGCAGUGAAAUGCGUAGAGAUUUGGAGGAAUACCGAUGGCGAAGGCAGCCCCCUGGGAUAGAACUGACGCUGAGGCACGAAAGCGUGGGUAGCAAACAGG
rnacentral:rRNA from 1 species